UCUUCAAUAGUAUAGUGGUCAGUAUUUCCGCUUGUCAUUUCGGGCCUCCUGGCUCUUGACAAAUACGCGGGAGACCUGGGUUCAAUUCCCAGUUGGAGAG